rnacentral:rRNA from 1 species
AGUGAACGCUGGCGGCAUGCCUUACACAUGCAAGUCGAACGGUAACAGGUCUUCAGAUGCUGACGAGUGGCGAACGGGGGAGUAAUACAUCGGAACGUGCCCGAUCCUGGGGGAUAACGGAGCGAAAGCUUUGCUAAUAUCGCAUACGAUCUACGGAUGAAAACAGGGGAACGCAAGGGCUUGCGCGGCCGUAGGGGCCGAUGUCAGCUUAGGUAGGUGGUGGGAUAAAAGCGUACCAAGCCGACGAUCUGUAGCUGGUCUGAGAGGGCGAGCAGGCACACUGGAACUGAGACACGGCCCAGACUCCUACGGGAGGCAGCAGUGGGGAAUUUUGGACAAUGGGCGAAAGCCUGAUCCAGCCAUGCCGCGUGGAGGAUGAAGGCCUUCGGGUUGUAAACUGCUUUUGUACGGAAAGAAAAGCCUCUUUCUAAUACCGAGGGUUUAUGACGGUACCGUAAGAAUAAGCACCGGCUAACUACGUG